rnacentral:rRNA from 1 species
UUAAGCGACUAAGCGUACACGGUGGAUGCCCUGGCAGUCAGAGGCGAUGAAGGACGUGCUAAUCUGCGAAAAGCGUCGGUAAGGUGAUAUGAACCGUUAUAGCCGGCGAUGUCCGAAUGGGGAAACCCAGUGCAAUUCGUUGCACUAUCGUUAACUGAAUACAUAGGUUAACGAGGCGAACCGGGGGAACUGAAACAUCUAAGUACCCCGAGGAAAAGAAAUCAACCGAGAUUCCCCCAGUAGCGGCGAGCGAACGGGGAGCAGCCCAGAGUCUGAAUCAGCUUGUGUGUUAGUGGAACGGUCUGGAAAGUCCGACGGUACAGGGUGAUAGUCCCGUACACCAAAAUGCACAGGCUGUGAACUCGAAGAGUAGGGCGGGACACGUGGUAUCCUGUCUGAAUAUGGGGGGACCAUCCUCCAAGGCUAAAUACUCCUGACUGACCGAUAGUGAACCAGUACCGUGAGGGAAAGGCGAAAAGAACCCCGGCGAGGGGAGUGAAAAAGAACCUGAAACCGUGUACGUACAAGCAGUGGGAGCACCUUCGGGUGUGACUGCGUACCUUUUGUAUAAUGGGUCAGCGACUUAUAUUCUGUAGCAAGGUUAACCGUAUAGGGGAGCCGCAGGGAAACCGAGUCUUAACUGGGCGUUAAGUUGCAGGGUAUAGACCCGAAACCCGGUGAUCUAGCCAUGGGCAGGUUGAAGGUUGGGUAACACUAACUGGAGGACCGAACCGACUAAUGUUGAAAAAUUAGCGGAUGACUUGUGGCUGGGGGUGAAAGGCCAAUCAAACCGGGAGAUAGCUGGUUCUCCCCGAAAGCUAUUUAGGUAGCGCCUCGUGAACUCAUCUUCGGGGGUAGAGCACUGUUUCGGCUAGGGGGUCAUCCCGACUUACCAACCCGAUGCAAACUACGAAUACCGAAGAAUGUUAUCACGGGAGACACACGGCGGGUGCUAACGUCCGUCGUGAAGAGGGAAACAACCCAGACCGCCAGCUAAGGUCCCAAAGUCAUGGUUAAGUGGGAAACGAUGUGGGAAGGCACAGACAGCCAGGAUGUUGGCUUAGAAGCAGCCAUCAUUUAAAGAAAGCGUAAUAGCUCACUGGUCGAGUCGGCCUGCGCGGAAGAUGUAACGGGGCUAAACCAUGCACCGAAGCUGCGGCAGCGACACUAUGUGUUGUUGGGUAGGGGAGCGUUCUGUAAGCCUGCGAAGGUGUGCUGUGAGGCAUGCUGGAGGUAUCAGAAGUGCGAAUGCUGACAUAAGUAACGAUAAAGCGGGUGAAAAGCCCGCUCGCCGGAAGACCAAGGGUUCCUGUCCAACGUUAAUCGGGGCAGGGUGAGUCGACCCCUAAGGCGAGGCCGAAAGGCGUAGUCGAUGGGAAACAGGUUAAUAUUCCUGUACUUGGUGUUACUGCGAAGGGGGGACGGAGAAGGCUAUGUUAGCCGGGCGACGGUUGUCCCGGUUUAAGCAUGUAGGCUGGUUAUCCAGGCAAAUCCGGAUAAUCAAGGCUGAGGUGUGAUGACGAGGCACUACGGUGCUGAAGUAACAAAUGCCCUGCUUCCAGGAAAAGCCUCUAAGCAUCAGGUAACAUCAAAUCGUACCCCAAACCGACACAGGUGGUCAGGUAGAGAAUACCAAGGCGCUUGAGAGAACUCGGGUGAAGGAACUAGGCAAAAUGGUGCCGUAACUUCGGGAGAAGGCACGCUGGUGUGUAGGUGAAGCCCCUGCGGGUGGAGCUGAGACCAGUCGAAGAUACCAGCUGGCUGCAACUGUUUAUUAAAAACACAGCACUGUGCAAACACGAAAGUGGACGUAUACGGUGUGACGCCUGCCCGGUGCCGGAAGGUUAAUUGAUGGGGUUAUCCGUAAGGAGAAGCUCUUGAUCGAAGCCCCGGUAAACGGCGGCCGUAACUAUAACGGUCCUAAGGUAGCGAAAUUCCUUGUCGGGUAAGUUCCGACCUGCACGAAUGGCGUAAUGAUGGCCAGGCUGUCUCCACCCGAGACUCAGUGAAAUUGAACUCGCUGUGAAGAUGCAGUGUACCCGCGGCAAGACGGAAAGACCCCGUGAACCUUUACUAUAGCUUGACACUGAACAUUGAGCCUUGAUGUGUAGGAUAGGUGGGAGGCUUUGAAGCGUGGACGCCAGUCUGCGUGGAGCCAACCUUGAAAUACCACCCUUUAAUGUUUGAUGUUCUAACGUUGGCCCCUUAUCGGGGUUGCGGACAGUGUCUGGUGGGUAGUUUGACUGGGGCGGUCUCCUCCCAAAGCGUAACGGAGGAGCACGAAGGUUAGCUAAUCCUGGUCGGACAUCAGGAGGUUAGUGCAAUGGCAUAAGCUAGCUUGACUGCGAGCGUGACGGCGCGAGCAGGUGCGAAAGCAGGUCAUAGUGAUCCGGUGGUUCUGAAUGGAAGGGCCAUCGCUCAACGGAUAAAAGGUACUCCGGGGAUAACAGGCUGAUACCGCCCAAGAGUUCAUAUCGACGGCGGUGUUUGGCACCUCGAUGUCGGCUCAUCACAUCCUGGGGCUGAAGUAGGUCCCAAGGGUAUGGCUGUUCGCCAUUUAAAGUGGUACGCGAGCUGGGUUUAGAACGUCGUGAGACAGUUCGGUCCCUAUCUGCCGUGGGCGCUGGAGAAUUGAGGGGGGCUGCUCCUAGUACGAGAGGACCGGAGUGGACGCAUCACUGGUGUUCGGGUUGUCAUGCCAAUGGCACUGCCCGGUAGCUAAAUGCGGAAGAGAUAAGUGCUGAAAGCAUCUAAGCACGAAACUUGCCCCGAGAUGAGUUCUCCCUGAGACUUUAAGUCUCCUGAAGGAACGUUGAAGACGACGACGUUGAUAGGCCGGGUGUGUAAGCGCAGCGAUGCGUUGAGCUAACCGGUACUAAUGAACCGUGAGGCUUAACCU